UUAAUGAUUUAAUAAAUUUAUUUAAAAAAAAAAAAUUCAUUAGAAGAGAAGCUAUGUGAACUACUAAAAGUUGACAGAUUGCCUCAAGAUUUAGUAACCAAACUAUAAGAAUAUGACAGUUGAUGCUGCUAUUGAAGUCUUAAAUCUAGAUGGGUGCAAACAGCCAUUGAUUUUUAUACUAGGAUCAGCAGUAUACAUUAAAGUUGAUUUAAAUGCUAUAUUAGUUGAAGAUACUGAUUCUUUUCCCGAGGUGGUAUUGCUUCUUCUGGCAACAUUUUACAUUUUUGACCUGGAGUAUCCGAAUGAAUUGCGGGUGUUAAUUUCAUUACUUGAAAAGAUUUGUGGCAUUCCAGCAACAAUUAGUAGCUCGAUUGCCAAUGACUUUUUUAGACUACUGAACCUUGAGUAAACUUAUAAGAUGUUAUUAAAACCAAGGUAAUAUUUGUUAAUGUUUUUGACAA